GAAAUGCGAUAAGUAAUGUGAAUUGCAGAAUUCAGUGAAUCAUCGAAUCUUUGAACGCACAUUGCGCCCGGCAGUAUUCUGCCGGGCAUGCCUGUUUGAGUAUCAUGAAAUCUUCAAAGUAAAUCUUUUGUUAACUCAAUUGGUUUCUACUUUGGUAUUGGAGGUCUUUGCAGCUUCACACCUGCUCCUCUUUGUUCAUUAGCUGGAUCUCAGUGUUAUGCUUGGUUCCACUCGGCGUGAUAAGUUAUCUAUCGCUGAGGACACUGUAAAAGGUGGCCAAGGUAAAUGCAGAUGAACCGCUUCUAAUAGUCCAUUGACUUGGACAAUACUUUUAUGAUCUGAUCUCAAAUCAGGUAGGACUACCCGCUGAACUUAAGC
rnacentral:misc_RNA from 1 species